rnacentral:rRNA from 1 species
UACGUAGGGUGCGAGCGUUCAUCGGAAUUACUGGGCGUAAAGCGUGCGCAGGCGGUUUUGUAAGCCAGAUGUGAAAUCCCCGAGCUUAACUUGGGAACUGCAUUUGGGACUGCAAGGCUAGAGUACGGCAGAGGGGGGUAGAAUUCCUGGUGUAGCAGUGAAAUGCGUAGAUAUCAGGAGGAAUACCGAUGGCGAAGGCAGCCCCCUGGGUCGAUACUGACGCUCAUGCACGAAAGCGUGGGGAGCAAACAGG